rnacentral:rRNA from 1 species
AGAGUUUGAUCCUGGCUCAGGACGAACGCUGGCGGCGUGCCUAACACAUGCAAGUCGAGCGAGAGACUUCGGUCUCUAGCGGCAGACGGGUGAGUAACACGUGGGUAACCUGCCUUAUAGAGGGGGAUAGCCUUCCGAAAGGGAGAUUAAUACCGCAUAAGAAGUAGGAAUCGCAUGAUUCCGGCUUUAAAGGAAUAAUCCGCUAUAAGAUGGACCCGCGGCGCAUUAGCUAGUUGGAGAGGUAAAGGCUCACCAAGGCGACGAUGCGUAGCCGACCUGAGAGGGUGAUCGGCCACAUUGGAACUGAGAGACGGUCCAGACUCCUACGGGAGGCAGCAGUGGGGAAUAUUGCACAAUGGGGGAAACCCUGAUGCAGCAACGCCGCGUGAGUGAAGAAGGCCUUCGGGUUGUAAAGCUCUGUUGAAGGGGACGAUAAUGACGGUACCCUUCGAGGAAGCCACGGCUAACUACGUGCCAGCAGCCGCGGUAAUACGUAGGUGGCGAGCGUUGUCCGGAUUUACUGGGCGUAAAGGAUGCGUAGGCGGAUUAUUAAGUCAGAUGUGAAAUUCCCGAGCUUAACUUGGGAGCUGCAUUUGAAACUGGUAGUCUGGAGUGCAGGAGAGGUAAGUGGAAUUCCUAGUGUAGCGGUGAAAUGCGUAGAGAUUAGGAAGAACACCAGUGGCGAAGGCGACUUACUGGACUGUAACUGACGCUGAGCCAUGAAAGCGUGGGGAGCAAACAGGAUUAGAUACCCUGGUAGUCCACGCUGUAAACGAUGAAUACUAGGUGUGGGAGGUAUC